GGAACACACAGGACCCUCUCCGAACGCCCGCGUUUGGGGCAUUUGUUUGGGUUGGCGUGGGUUUCACCUGUGUGGUGAAUUGAAAGUAUCGCUACCCUGAACUCUCUGUUUCCUGCGCAGAUUGUCCAGCCGGAUAGACAUGUCGAUAAGUUCAUCUAGAGAGAGAGCAGUAUCCCGACACGCUAGCUCCCUGCGGACGUCCUCCCGGAGACUACACUGGUAGUGGUCUAUCAGGGCCCUGUCGUUCCACCCAGACCCAGCGGCCAAGGUCCGGAACUCCAAGGCGUAAUCCUGGGCGCUCCUCUUCUCCUGCCUAAGGUGGAACUGUCGCUCUCCCGCUGCUCGGCCCUCUGGAGGGUGGUCAAACAUGGUACGAAAGCGGGUAGUGCUCCUUCGCUGAGUCUGGGCCAUUCCAGACCGCGUUUGCCCACUCCAAAGCACUACCCGUCAGGCAGGAGACGACGACGCUCACCCUCUCCGCUCCCGAGGGAGUGGGUCUCGCGGUCGCCAGGUACAGUUCCAGUUGGAGCAAGAACCCCUGGCACCCCGCCGCCGCUCCAUCAUAAUCCCUCGGGAGUGCAAGACGGAGAGCGCUGGAGCCGGGGGAUGGGGAGAGAGAAGGGGAAUCCAGAGGGAGGGGAACCGAAGGUGGAGAGAGGAGACCCCUCCUCUCCCAUCGGUCCAUUCUCUCCAUCAUCUGGUCCAUCCCGGAUCCGAUCCGAUGGAGGACGGUGGUGUGGUGGAGGACACGUUCCGCCAUCGAUGGGAGGGGGUUAGCAGCUGCUCCUGCUGAAUCCAUUCAGAAGGUGCGAGAUUCUGUAAUUCCCGGGGUGUAGUGGAGGAAGAAGUCAGGUGCAGGAAACAGAGAGUUCAGGGUAGCGAUACUUUUAAUUCACCACACAGGUGAAACCCACGCCAACCCAAACAAAUGCCCCAAAACACGGGGGACUAAACAGUCCAGAAAAUACACACAUACAUGGACAACCGUGACCUACAGUCAUGCACAGAAUGUACACAGAGAAUAAUCCCGCACACCCAGUAGGCGGGCCGGCUGGAUAAUAAAGCCCCACCAUUAAACCUAAUUAAACACAGGUGUAACUAAUAAACAGACAAUGGGGAAAAAAGGAUCAGUGGCAGCUAGUAGGCCGGUGACGACGACCGCAGAGCGCCACCCGAACAGGAAGGGGAGCCAUCUCCGGUAGGAGUCGUGACAGUUGGGCUGCCAGACUUAAUUGCCAUACAUUUUGCCUCAUCCCUCUCAACCAUACCAUUUUUCAAUUCCUCAUCAAUCCAAAGGGAUUUAACAUUCUGCUGUGAAGGAAGACCACAACAAGUCAACUACUUGAUUGAUGAAGGCAUGGUCAUCCAGCAAAGACAGCAGCGCAGUCAUCGACUACAUGCACCAUUUCUUCACCAACUACGGAGUUGGGGAAACAUGUGUGGACCUGAAUUGGGAUAACUGCAGUGGCCAAAACAAGAACAAGAUUGUGCUCUGGCAGACCAUGCACAAGCUCCACCACAGCCUGGACCUUCGCUUCCUGAUCACAGGCCACACCAAGUUUGGUGCUUCGGCCUCAUCAAGCAGCGCUUCUGAACGACCAGAGUGAACACCUUUGUCUGAGAUUGCUGGUGUUGUGAAGGACAGCACCGUGACAGGAGUCAACAUCCCACAGCUGGUUGGACUGGAGGAUGGUAUGCUGCUGGUGGAAAGCUAUGGCUGGCAACAACACCUGACUCCGUACUUCAGGCUGCUACCACAGUUCAAGCGGUACCAGCACUUCAUCUUCGAUGCUCCGGAGCCUAGUGUUGUCGCCAAGGAGCGUUCAGACUCAGUCAGGACCAGGUUUCAGCUGCUGCUCAGUGCUGGCAUCCUUCCUCCCAUAGAUGGUCUGCCUGUACAAGAACCACCUGGACUGGACACAGCUAGACAAACUUAUCUUUUUGAGAAGAUCAGGGAGUUUUGCGACGAAGAGGCUAUGGACAUGACAUGUCCUACACCAAAGUCAACAGAACAGAAUCAGGCUCUCCGAAUAUAAUUUUCCUUGCUCAUACAUUCGGACAGACGAGUCAUCAGCACUAUCUGCAGUGCCACUAUUCAAAUGACUCUCUCCUAACACACAUGCCAUACGUUGCUGCCACUAUGAUAUUUUUUGUAUCCUGCUGCUCAGCCACUUUACCCCUGAUUGUAUGCAUACAACUACCUCGUCUAUCACUAUCGUUAUUGAUAUUGUUCGUGUACAUACUGUAUAUUUUAUUUAUUUUGACACCAUCUAUUUCUGAUAUUGCUAUUAUGCAAGUAACCAUUGGCUGUACCGUUUACACCUUCUGUAGAGACCCAUCCACUUAGCAAGACAUAGCAAAAUAUUGAUAUAUAAAAAUGAAUAUUGACAUGUGUGUUCGUAACAUGAUUUUGUGACAUACCACACAGACUCACUAAACACAAAUGCGUUGUUUGUAAAUUAUGUCUGAGUGUUGGAGUGUUGGAGUGUGCCCCUGGCUAUCCGUCAA
ensembl:lncRNA